ACGAAAGAGAAAGAGAAAAAAAAAAAGAGGGAAAGAUAAUGAACAGUGUAAGUUAAAGCUCCUCCGCCGAGAGUCAAGUCAAUUGGAAAAAUACACAGAGAGUCUAUAAGUUAAAGAGAGAGAGAGGAGACAGUAUUGGAAUGCUCAGUUAAUGCAUUGAAGAAGGCAACAGGAGAAUUUGAGUUUUUUUUCUGGGGAAAUGCAAAUCAAGUCACCUGAGUGGAGAUAUCUUCGUCGUCGUCCGGAUGCAGAGACGAGUCGUAUGGAGAGAAGACGGUUUGUUUUUGUCGAUUAUUAGCUUUCCCACACCUUCACUUGCCACUCGUCGGAGCUGAAGACCCCCGUGUUACCAAUAUGGCCUGCCUAACUCCCUUUAUUUACCAAUGUGCCCCCCGGUGACUUUUCUUUUUCACUAACCAUAAAGUUAAUGAUUCCUGCUUUAACGCAUUUCCAAAUCAAGUCUAACUUGCAUUUUCAA